rnacentral:rRNA from 1 species
UACGGGGGAGGCAAGCGUUGUUCGGAAUCACUGGGUGUAAAGGGCAUGUAGGCGGGUUUCUAAGUCAUCCGUGUAAUCCUCGAGCUUAACUCGAGGGCUGCGGUUGAUACUGGAAAUCUUGAGUGGGGGAGAGGAAGUCGGAAUACCCGGUGUAGCGGUGAAAUGCGUAGAUAUCGGGUAGAACACCAGUAGCGAAGGCGGACUUCUGGACCCUAACUGACGCUGAGGUGCGAAAGCGUGGGGAG